rnacentral:rRNA from 1 species
GUGGGGAAUAUUGCGCAAUGGGGGAAACCCUGACGCAGCCAUGCCGCGUGAGUGAAGAAGGCCUUAGGGUUGUAAAACUCUUUCAGUGGUGAAGAUAAUGACGGUAGCCACAGAAGAAGCCCCGGCCAACUCCGUGCCAGCAGCCGCGGUAAUACGGAGGGGGCUAGCGUUGUUCGGAAUUACUGGGCGUAAAGCGCGCGUAGGCGGGCUGGUUAGUUGGGGGUGAAAUCCCAGGGCUCAACCCUGGAACUGCCCUCAAUACUGCCAGUCUUGAGUUCGAGAGAGGUAAGCGGAAUUCCUAGUGUAGAGGUGAAAUUCGUAGAUAUUAGGAAGAACACCAGUGGCGAAGGCGGCUUACUGGCUCGAUACUGACGCUGAGGCGCGAAAGCGUGGGGAGCAAACAGG